GACUAUGGCCAUGCCACCCUGAACAAGCCUGAUCCCAUCUGGUCUUGGAAGCUAAGCAGGAUCAGGCCUGGUUAGUACUUGGAUGGGAGACCACUUAGGAAGACUGGGUGCUAUAGGCG
rnacentral:rRNA from 1 species